CACGUAGGGGGCGAGCGUUGUCCGGAUUUAUUGGGCGUAAAGAGCUCGUAGGCGGCUCAGUAAGUCGGGUGUGAAAACUCCAGGCUCAACCUGGAGACGCCACCUGAUACUGCUGUGGCUAGAGUCCGGUAGGGGAGCAUGGAAUUCCUGGUGUAGCGGUGAAAUGCGUUGAUAUCGGAAGGAACGCCGGUGGCGAAAGCGGCGUACUGGACCUCUUCUGACGCUGAGGCGCGAAAGCGAGGGGAGCAAACGGG
rnacentral:rRNA from 1 species